rnacentral:rRNA from 1 species
CCUACGGGGGGCAGCAGUGGGGGAUAUUGCACAAUGGGGGGAACCCUGAUGCAGCAACGCCGCGUGAGUGAAGAAGGCCCUAGGGUCGUAAAGCUCUGUCGUAUGGGAAGAAACAAAUGACUGUACCAUACAAGAAAGCCCCGGCUAACUACGUGCCAGCAGCCGCGGUAAUACGUAGGGGGCAAGCGUUAUCCGGAAUUACUGGGCGUAAAGGGUGCGUAGGCGGCUAGUUAAGUCGAGGUUAAAAGGCAGUAGCUCAACUACUGUUGGGCCUUGAAACUAAUUAGCUUGAGUAUAGGAGAGGAAAGUGGAAUUCCCGGUGUAGCGGUGAAAUGCGUAGAUAUCGGGAGGAAUACCGGUGGCGAAGGCGACUUUCUGGACUAUAACUGACGCUGAGGCACGAAAGCGUGGGUAGCAAACAGGAUUAGAUACCCGUGUAGUC